CCUUUCCGGAUGGGUCGAUACGCUUCCAGGAAGUACGGCUUAAGGUAUACCUCGAAGAGAUUACCAGUAAUGCCUUCCACUGUGUCAUCAAUGGGCAGCACAUGGAUACGUUUGCCGUACUUCACAUCAGGGCAUGGCUGGAUGCUGAGGAUGACAAGCAGACUCCAUAUUACCAACCACACUUCGGGCCCAAGCACUGGGUGUCCAAAAGGGCCUGGCACAGAUAGCUGAUA
rnacentral:lncRNA from 1 species